GAUGAACGCUGGCGGCGUGCCUAAUACAUGCAAGUCGAGCGAACAGACGAGGAGCUUGCUCCUCUGACGUUAGCGGCGGACGGGUGAGUAACACGUGGAUAACCUACCUAUAAGACUGGGAUAACUUCGGGAAACCGGAGCUAAUACCGGAUAAUAUUUUGAACCGCAUGGUUCAAUAAUGAAAGACGGUUUUGCUGUCACUUAUAGAUGGAUCCGCGCCGCAUUAGCUAGUUGGUAAGGUAACGGCUUACCAAGGCAACGAUGCGUAGCCGACCUGAGAGGGUGAUCGGCCACACUGGAACUGAGACACGGUCCAGACUCCUACGGGAGGCAGCAGUAGGGAAUCUUCCGCAAUGGGCGAAAGCCUGACGGAGCAACGCCGCGUGAGUGAUGAAGGUCUUCGGAUCGUAAAACUCUGUUAUUAGGGAAGAACAAAUGUGUAAGUAACUAUGCACGUCUUGACGGUACCUAAUCAGAAAGCCACGGCUAACUACGUG
rnacentral:rRNA from 1 species